rnacentral:rRNA from 1 species
UUUUUGAAAUUAAUUUAAAGUCUAACCUGCCCACUGAGUAUUUAAAUGGCCGCAGUAUUCUAACUGUGCAAAGGUAGCAUAAUCAUUAGUCUUUUAAUUAAAGGCUGGAAUGAAUGGUUGAAUGAAAUAUUAACUGUUUCAUAAAAAUUUUUAAUAAAAUUUUAUUUUUUAGUUAAAAAGCUAAAAUAAUGUUAAAAGACGAGAAGACCCUAUAAAUCUUUAUAUUUAUUUAAUUUUAAUUAUAUAGAUAAAUUAAAUUAUAAUUAUUUAAAAUAUUUUAUUGGGGUGAUAUUAAAAUUUAAUAAACUUUUAAUUUAUAAUUUACAUAAAUUAAUGAAUUUUUGAUCCAUAAAUUAUGAUUAAAAAAUUAAGUUACUUUAGGGAUAACAGCGUAAUUUUUUUAGAGAGUUCAUAUUGAUAAAAA